AAGAAGCUGAAUAUGUUCUAUGCAGUCACUCCAUGUCAAAAACUCAUUGAAAUGGACCAUGUAUUCAAGUUUCAUACUUUCUAUAAUAAACUCAUGUCUACAGAGAAGCUGCUGAUGCUCUGAGGGCAUAGUAGAAGGAUUAUGUGGUCCAAAUGUGUAGUGUGAACAACAAACACGACCACCCCCCCAUAAACCAAUGUGUCUUGACCCAUAGCAUACUGUGCAUGCUGUUGAGUAUUGGGUAUUCCUGUUACAAAGCAAAGAGAUCUGGACAGCAGAAGUACAAAUCUGCUUAAAGAGCAUUGUGGAUGCCAACUUGGUUACUAUAUUUUAAAAAAAGAAGACAGAAGGAGAUUCCUGGGCUGACAGAUACUACUGUGUAUUGGUAUUUGGGACCCAAAAAUUAGUAGAAUCCUAAACAUUUUCAAUAUUUCUAAAGAAGAUGGCAUUUGCCAAUGUGUUAUCAGAAAGCCCUUAAACACAGAAGAUUCAAAAUCAUCCAAGAUUCUGAGUUGUGUUAUUCCACACAUCCUACAACACAAAUACCAAUGUUUGCUCCCAUAGUACAACACA
rnacentral:lncRNA from 1 species